AUGAGCAGCUCCCGGGAGCACCACGUUUUACUGCGGAAAUGUGAAAUUGUUUUGUGGGGGAAGGGAUGGAAGAACGAGCGAGGCGUUGAUUUGCUCAGAAAGAGAAGAAAUUCUUCAAGAAAGUGCAGCGAGACCCGUACAUUACAUGCAAAAUUCUAUGGAAACAGAGUCCUGCAGACAAAUGUGUGUGUGUUAAUUCCACGCCAAUGGAAAGCAGCAUUUCCACCAGUGGGAUUACUCACCUAUUCCAGUCGAGGAUGAUCACAAACGCUGACAGGUAACUCCCUUUUCAACUCAAGAUAUCGAAACCCUCCCUUUCUUGUCACGAUUGUAUAAAGGUGCUGAGAUUUAAAGUUCGAUUUAGCACGUGUGAGCUGUACUUCAUUAUGCCUUCAUUUGAAGUGUGCAGAGGGCAAUAAUCAAGACAAAAGCUGUCAUUUAAAUUGCUCUUCUGGUCUCUGGCCACAUUUCUGUCGUCUUUUUCUCCAUCUGAAGCAUCACUGAUUAAUCUGAAUUACUCAAGUCAGUUUAAUUAACGUUGCUUUGUCUUUAAAUAGUUUAGCCUUAAUCUGUCUAAUCCUUUACUGGUUAUAAUAAUCCCUGUUAAAUUUGCCUAAUGGUAAAAUAAGCAAACUUGCUCAAGAUAGAAUGAGUAGUACUGAACAUUUGAAGGAAUUUCAUGAUUGCUCACACUUCAUCUAUGUCUGACUCAAUUCUGUGUGAAAGUUCUUAAAAAUUUUCAUGUUCUUACACAACUGGAAAAGCAUUUUAUUGGAAGAUUGUCUCUUUUAAUACGUCUUCUGUCUGGGGGCCUCCAGCGCUAAAAAGAUGUCUCCAAAUGUGAAACUAGUGGUCUCCAGAUUUUCACUCACUUUUUGCAGCAGCAAGUUUCACAUUAGCAGCUUGUAAAACACUAGCAAAUGAAAACUCAUCUGCCGGGCACAUCCCCAGGGCGGCAUUCCCAGGGAGGGCAGCAGGGAUGUUUCCCCCGCAUUCUCCUGGGGGAGUUCCUGUGCAGGAACACCGCAGAGUCCCGGCGCUGUGAGGGGGCGGAGGUGGCGGCGUCCUCAGGGCGCGGUGGCACCGGCCGCACCGGGGUGCUCGGCGCCGCCAACCGUGGAGGGACGGGACGGGCCCAGGGGGCCACCUGAAGUGAGACGUAUUCACGCACAUCACGGGCGGGGAUGAGCUGGGAUAUCACCGUUUC
rnacentral:lncRNA from 1 species